GCUUUUAUAGUUUAUAAUAAAACAAUAUAUUUUCAAUAUAUAAAAAAGAAGUUUUAACUCUUUAAAAGAA
rnacentral:tRNA from 1 species